ensembl:lncRNA
AUGUACCCGCAGGGUAGACACCCGGUACCUCUGCAGCCGGGACAGUCAUUCAAGUUCACGGUGCUGGAGACUCUGGACCGCAUUAAAGAGGAGUUCCAGUUCCUUCAGGCUCAGUACCACAGUCUCAAAAUAGAGUGUGAGAAGUUGGCCAGCGAGAAGACAGAGAUGCAGCGCCACUAUAUCAUGUACUACGAGAUGUCCUACGGGCUCAACAUUGAGAUGCACAAACAGGCGGAGAUCGUGAAGCGACUCAGUGCUAUCUGUGCUCAAAUCAUCCCUUUCCUCUCUCAGGAGCAUCAACAGCAGGUUGUUCAGGCGGUGGAACGUGCCAAACAGGUCACCAUGGCAGAGCUCAACGCCAUCAUUGGGCAGCAGCAGCUCCAGCACCUGUCUCACCACACUCCAGGUAUUCCUCUCACUCCUCACCCUUCAGGUCUGUCUCUGGGCGGCACAUCAGGGCUGCUGGCCCUCACCGGGGCUCUAGGAGUCUCCGCCCACCUGGCCAGCAAGGACGAACGCAAUCAUCUAGACCCCGAGCACCUGCGAGAGGGUGCGCCCAGCAGGAGUAAAUCAGUGUCGUCAACUGACAGUCAGGCAGCGGAGGAUCGUCAGGGUCCAUCAGGGGUUUAUUCCUCACAGGCCAGCAGCGAGGCCAAACGGAGACGUUGUGAUGAUAAAGACGUCCUGCCGUCUCACUACGACAGUGACGGAGACAAGAGCGAGGACAAUCUUGUAGUAGAUG